rnacentral:lncRNA from 1 species
ACUGAUGGACCCCACAAUCAUUGAAUAUAAGGUCAUUUCUUAGAAUUGAAAGAGGGGAUCACGACAUACUCAUACAUACAGGAAAAAAGAAGGGUCUUCUCCUUCUUUUGGAAAAAAUCACACACGCACACUCUCACCUCUCUCAAAUCCUCACAAAUCUCGCACGCACACACGCUCUCAUCGAGAAACAUACACACACGAGCACGCAGUAAAGAGAAGACGACGGAGGGGGUGGUGUUUGAUGAAAAUUCGGGCAAGAAACUGAAAAACAGCGAGAAAAUAGUUCUUUCUCCUGUUUUUCCGGCGAUAUUAGCGCCGGAAUCAGCGUCAUCGGUGUCCAGUUCAUCCAUUCAACGAGUCUAGUCCGAAAUCUCCAAAAUUUUCUCCGUAUUCCAUUGGUUUCCAGUUGAAUCUGGCCGAAAAAUAUCAGGGUUACUGGAAUUUGACCUUUUUCGUUGGUUUUUGCUUUUGUCAGCUCGCCGGAGCUUGGAUUAUACAGGCUUUAAUUUUCUUUCAUAUCCUUGGGGGUUUUGGAUUCGUCUAUUUUCUUGAUUCGGGCUUGAUAUAGUGCGUUAGGGGUUUACUUGCAAUUGAGUGGGUUCAAUAUUCGUGGUUUGGAGCUUGGUUCGUCGUGAGGAUUUCGUUUGAGGAUUUUGAUUUUUCGGACUUCUUUAUUAUCAACGAAAACAAGUGCUAUUGAGAUCCAUUUCCUUUAUCCGUUCUCUUUUUAUUUAUUUUGGUUGGUUGAAUUGGUUGUGUUUAUGUGUGGCGUGUGUUGGAUUUUGUUGAUGUUGAUAUUAUGAUCAUGAUGCUUGGUGAUUCGACUUUGGUGGUUUGAGGAAUGAAUUUGAUCAUGUUUUAAUGGUUUGGGUAGAAAGAAAUUUGGGGGGUGAAAUUGAAAAUUGACGAAAAGGUUAGAUUCGGAUUAAUUUCAAUUUGUUGUUGAUAUGAAAUGUGAUAGAAUUAUGUCUUUAGUCGAGAAUGGAUAGGCGAACGGUAGGUUCGGGUAGGCAAAUUUAGGCAUGGUGGAUUGAUGGCAUGUUUGAAAUAUGUGUUGGAAUGGUUUUGUUUUAUCGCAUUUAAUUCAAGUGUACUUAUUUGGCUUGGGAAUGCCCCGAGGUACUUGUAUCUAUUUACUGGGGAAUGCCUCGACGUAUCUUGUACGCAAAGGAGGUUCGUGAUGAAGGCCCGAGGCAUCGGGUAAAGCAUUGGAGCAUAGUUUAGGAUUAGUCUAAAUAGGAUUUCUAUUUUUGUAUUUUCUAUUCUUGGACUGUAUAAUUCGGACCGGACAUUACUCUGGU